GUUUUAUGGAUAUUAAUUUUAAAUUUGACCUGCUCUAUGAUUUAUUAAAUGGCUGCAGUAUUUUAACUGUACUAAGGUAGCAUAAUAAUUUGUCUUUUAAUUGAAGGCUAGAAUGAAUGGUUUGAUGAAAAAUUAACUUUUUUAUUUUAAUAUUUUGAAUUUAAUUUUUUAGUUAAAAAGCUAAAAUUUUUUUAUAGGACGAGAAGACCCUAUAGAAUUUUAUUUUUUUUAUAUUUUUAUUUUUUUUGUUAAUUUUAUUUUAAAAUUAUAUUAAUAAUUUUGUUGGGGUGAUGUAAAAAUUUUUUUAACUUUUUAUUUAUUUUUCAUUAAUUUAUGUUUUUAUGAUCCUAAUUUUUAGAUUAAAAGAUUAAAUUACCUUAGGGAUAACAGCGUUAUUUUUUUUGAUAGUUCUUAUUGAUGAAAAAGUUUGCGA
rnacentral:rRNA from 1 species